GCAUACUAAAUCAUUAUUUAAGCUAUAAUCAAUGACUUAAAAAUUCAACAGGAAUACAUUCUUUGAACUAAAAUUAGUAAAAAAAUCGCUGUUAAUGUUAUUUAUUUAUUUAUUUAUUUAUUUAUUUAUUUAAAUAGACCCCACUCCCAACAUGGGGCUUGAACUCACAACCCUGAGAUCAAGUGUUACAUCCUCUACCACCCAAGCCAGCCAGGCAUCUCCUAUUAAUGUUUUAUUAAAGGCAUUUUCUUACUUGAAAUUAUCUAAGAACUAAUAUUUCAAAAAUUUGUCUAAAGCUCAUUGUUGGCAGUUUAGCCAUUUUUAUAAUGAAUUAUCUGUCUUCUAAGAUUAUUUUAUUCUUAAUGUCCAAUUGCAUCUUGAAAACUAAAAAUAAGUAAAUAGAAUUUUUAAGUAUGAACUAUGCCUUUCCAUGAUUUUUAAUGUGAAUGGCAGCCAUUUAUGUUAGGUGCAUAUCUUAAUGGGAAACAAAACAAAAACAGACAAGACAAUGAUUCGCUAAAGAUGCAAAUGUUCAAAAUAUCUGCUCCUGUUACAGAGAAGAGGAGAUAAGUGCACCAUAGUAUCUGAUUGUCACUAAAUGCAGUGUUGAUGUAGGUUUAAUGUCAAACAAAAUAAUAUCAAUCUUUUUCUAUAAGAAAUCUAAAAUUGAAAUUUGCUUCCAGACUGAGUAUCUCAUGUUUUGGUUUAUUUUUGGAUUUUGCAGCUUUUCCAAAUUGUUUGGGAAACACAGCUGGGCUUAUUAAUAUACUGAGGCACUCAAUUUGAAGAUGACUGUCAUCAUGUGCAGUUCUGGAUCUCUUUCUCUGGACUUCAUAGCCAACUGCUCUGUCUUCAGUAGAAAGAAAUGAAAUCAAAUGCCAGUAUUUGGGAUUAAAUAUUUUGGCUUCUAGUUCAUAACUGGCAUAAUGUACUAAAAGCGGUAGCCAGCACAAUCUUCUCUUACAUGUGUGAUACUAUGCUAGGCCCUUUCUGUGCACUGUUUCAUUUGAUCUUGACAAGGGUAUACGUCUGUUCAAUUAUUCAGAUAGAUAAAUGGAAGCCUGGAAAGGCCUUUUGCCUCUUUGUUUCUUAACACUCUAGUACAAUGAGGAAAUAGAAUUUGCUACCCUGGAAAACUACUUCCUACACACCGGGACCUGUUUAGUAACUAUUGUUGAUCAUUCGUGAAGGGUCACCACCUAAUGAGAAGGUGCUGCUCAGCAUUCAGCAGGCAGAGAGAGAGGACAAUACAGAUCUUAGGUAAAAAGUUCAGUCCUCCAGAAAACAUGCCCUCAGGGCUGCCUGGCUUAUUCUUAGGGAUGAUGUUUUUAAAAAGUGGCCUCUGAUGCCCCUUGGAGGACCCUGACUCGUACCUGAAUUAUCGGCUUGAUAACUUCCUCAGCAUCUCCUAUUUGACUUUUUGUCAGUGGAUAUAAAAUGAUAAGAGACUGCAAACUCUUCUAACCCAAACUUAAUCAAUUUGCAGAAAAGGAAACUGAAGGUCUUCAUGACUUAAUAAGUGAUUUGCCCUAUGUCAUAUAAUGGAUGCCAUAUAUUGGCCUGACUGCAUCAGUCAGAAGACAUGCAACAUUAGUAUACAGCUUUCAGACUAACCUACAGCCCACUCCAGUUGAAAAUAUCCAAAGGACUUGAAACAGACCAAAGCUUAUGUUCAAUAAUCUUUUCUUUCCUUUCCUCUUUUCUUCCUUCCCCCUUCCUUCCUUCUUCUCGUCAUUCAUUUAUACAACAAGCACUUACUGUCCGUCUACUCUGAGCCAGGCAAUAUGCCAUCCACUAAGACCAUGGGAAAGAGAGAAUCCCUGCCUUAACUCAUUCAGGGAAGCAUGCUCCCGAGCUACUCUAGGGGAAGCCUCAUCAGGAGUGGAGAAUAUCCUGGCCCAGUCAUUUAGUUUUCCAUCAAUCUGUUAGGUACUUACAUUUUUCCCUAGGCUCUUGGUACAUGGUGAUGAACAAGGCAUGCAAGUAUACCUGCACUCAAGGACUUCGUAGAGACAAAGUACAACAGGUAAAUAGAUAAGACAGACAGAUAGAUGAGAUAAUUUCAGGUGCUGAUAGUGCUAUGAGGAAGAUAAAACUGAGUAAUAUGAUAGAGUGGGUGGAGGGUCCUACUCUUGUGCCACUGAUGAGGUAAGACUUCCUUCAGGAGGUGACAUUUAAAAUGGCACCCAAAUAAUGUAAAGGAGACAGCCACUCCAAGAUCUCACUGGUGAUGUGUCACAAUAGCAUGUUGAUUAUCUCAGCCUUUGGACAGAGCCUGGGGCAGCAAAGCCCUUGAGCAGUAGCCUCUAGCAUUCCAUACCUUUCUCUCUACUCCAGCAUGUUGGGUAAAUGUUACCAUUUUCUGUGUGUCCCAUAAUAGGAAAAGCAUUGUGUGACACUAUCCUAGCUGAAGGGAAAAAUCCAAGCAGAAGGAAAGCAAAUGAAAUAGGAUUUGGCACGUUGGGAACUGAAAAAGUAGAGGGCACAAAAGGCAAAGUGACAAAGAAUGAGGUCAGAGCCGGCAGGAGCCAGAGCCUGUAAUAUCUUGUAGUUUGGGUAUAUGUGGGUGAAAGGUGGAUGGGGAUAAAGCUUAUAUUUGUUUACUUCCAAAAAGGAAUAGACACAUUGCAGUGCUAAAGUAUAUAUUAAUUCAGUUAAUCCAAAUACA
rnacentral:lncRNA from 1 species